rnacentral:rRNA from 1 species
UACGGGGGGAGCAAGCGUUGUUCGGAUUUACUGGGCGUAAAGGGCGCGUAGGCGGCCAGCACAAGUCAGUUGUGAAAUCUCCGAGCUUAACUCGGAAAGGUCAACUGAUACUGUGCGGCUAGAGUGCGGAAGGGGCAACUGGAAUUCUUGGUGUAACGGUGAAAUGCGUAGAUAUCAAGAGGAACACCUGCGGCGAAGGCGGGUUGCUGGGCCGACACUGACGCUGAGGCGCGAAAGCGUGGGUAGCAAACAGG